CAUGUAACUAUCUAUUAUUAACCAUCAUUAUCUAGUGAAUUUUUGCUAUUGUUCUACAAUCCCAACAAUGAAUGAUGAUGUGAAAAAAUGCAAAAUUGAAAGCAGAUGCUGUGUUUGUAAUAAUGCAUGGGAGACAAGCAUUUUUUUGAAAAUGUUGAUAACAAAGUAAUGUGCCUUAUAUGCCAUGAUAGUGUUGUUAUUUCAAAGUACAAUUUGAAAAAGCAUUUUCAAACCAAGUGCAGCACAUUUGGAAGUAAUUUAUCUGAAAGUGAAUUACAGCAGAAAGCUAAUAAUUUAUUGAAAAUGUCAGUUUCCAGCAUAAUUGCAAUACUUUCUUUUAUGAAUACCUCAUGUAUCAAAACAUAAACAUUUUUUUUUAUAUGGGGCCUGCUGGAGACCUUACAAAAGUCUGUGUGGCUGCAGUCGGAAAAAUUUUCCCAACCCUUCUAUAGAGGAAUCAUGGCCACAGAGUUAGCCCAAUUAGGAGUGUAGCUUGCAUGCCUAUCCAAUUUAUCUGUUUGUCUAAAUUUCUGUAUAAGCUACCUGAAAAGGAAAUUUGCCUAGUAUGUAGUGAUCCAAAUGGUAGGAUAUUAGAGCAUUAUGCUAAAAGUCCUCUGUUUGAUUCUGAAGACAAAUUUCAUUUUCAGAUAAGUAUUAAAAUUUCUAUUUUAGUUUUAGUGAAUAGAUGGAGC
rnacentral:lncRNA from 1 species